GACUCCUACGGGAGGCAGCAGUGAGGAAUAUUGGUCAAUGGGCGCAAGCCUGAACCAGCCAUGCCGCGUGCAGGAAGACGGUCCUAUGGAUUGUAAACUGCUUUUAUACAGGAAGAAACAACUCUACGUGUAGAGUCUUGACGGUACUGUAGGAAUAAGGAUCGGCUAACUCCGUGCCAGCAGCCGCGGUAAUA
rnacentral:rRNA from 1 species